UACGUAGGUGGCAAGCGUUGUUCGGAAUUACUGGGCGUAAAGCGCGUGUAGGCGGCUCUUCAAGUCAGACGUGAAAGCCCCGGGCUUAACUCGGGAACUGCGUUUGAUACUGUCGAGCUAGAGUGUGGAAGGGGCGAUUGGAAUUCCGUGUGUAGCGGUGAGAUGCGUAGAUAUACGGAGGAACACCAGGGGCGAAGGCGGAUCGCUGGGCCAACACUGACGCUGAGACGCGAAAGCUAGGGGAGCAAACGGG
rnacentral:rRNA from 1 species